rnacentral:siRNA from 1 species
AAACGCCAUAACUGUUUCGAUAGU